rnacentral:rRNA from 1 species
GAUUUCUGGCCUGGCGCGCCUGGCCCGCCAGCGUUAGCUGUGUGAGUGUCGGGACGCGCCUGCCAUCCUUCUGGAGAACAUGUGUACCUUUCAUUAGGCCGCGCAUGCCAUCCAGAUCUUUUACUUUGAAAAAAUUAGAGUGUUUAAAGCAGGCUUUUGCUAUGAAUACAUUAGCAUGGAAUAAUAAUUUAGGACUUCGGUUCUAUUUUGUUGGUUUCUAGGACUGAAGUAAUGAUUGAUAGGGAUAGUUGGGGGUGCUAGUAUUCAGCGGCCAGAGGUGAAAUUCUCGGAUUCGCUGAAGACUAACUUAUGCGAAAGCAUU